GGUUGUGGCUCAGUGGUGGAGCACUUGCCUACAUGCAUGAGACACUGAGUUCAAUUCUUAGCACCA
rnacentral:tRNA from 1 species